rnacentral:lncRNA from 1 species
UUCCUUGAACAGUGUGCACUUGAGGAACGAAUUAAGACCCGUAAACAAGGAUGAAAGCCCCCGCCCCGCAGACUUCAGCUCCUCCUCCAUGAAGGACGCCGCCUGGGAGGUGAGUCCAGGCCGGGCCAGGGAGGGCCUCCUGUGGGAAGGUGCAUUUUCACCUUACAGCCGGGAAGUAGACAGCUGCGUCACAGUUUCACUCAUGCCGGUCUCUUCCUGUGCACAUUCAAUGUUAACAUUAUUCUGGCAAAAGCCUUGCUGCAGAUAGUCUCUCCGGUCCCUCCUACAUCUCUUUCCAGAAGACAGUUUAAAAGGACACAUUUCAUCACCUCUCAGAAGGGGUUAACAUCACAGAAUUCCAAGUCUGAGGGUGGAGCCCUGAUCCUGAGAAGGUUUUGUUGAGUUCGGGACAGUAUUUCUUUACCCAUCCUUCAUGAAGAUAAAAAAUGAGGCAAAAUAGACACUAAAAUGGUCUCUGACAUCUCCUCAUGCCACCAGACAAGGAGUAACCAUGGUAACAAGAAGCCUAGAAAAAUUGGGGAAUGAGGAAGACCAGGAAUGAGAGCUCCCCUCAGCCCUGGGGGGACCUGAGUGUCCACAGCUGAGCCUUCUCUGCUUCCCUUUUCUCUUCUGGAUUCUGAUGGAGGAUAUUUUCAUCUUCCUCCCAAAAUCAUCAGAAAGCAUAAGGACAUAUAUAAACCGCUUUGCAAAAAGAGAGUGUAUGGAAUAAAAGAGAAAAUGAAGAAGAGGAGAAAGGCUGGAGUGCAAUGGUGUGAUCUCAGCUCACUGCAGCCUCAACCUCCCUGGCUCAGGUGAUUCUCCCACCUCAGCUUCCUGAUUAACUGGGAUUACAGAACCAGAUUGAAGUUCAUCCCAGCUCUCAGCCAGAUCCUCCUGCUUCAGAUUAAGCGGAGCUGGGAAAGGACGAUCCAUGUCCAGCCCUCCCCAGGAGAGCAGUGUCACCAUCAUUUCGAAGAGCCUCCAUGUCUCUCAUGGUUUGAGGUUUGGAAACGAGAACCACAGAAGCCUGCAGUCGCUGCCUGACAGGGCGUGGGAGACCACAGCCAAAUCUCAGAGGAGUUUCUGGAGGGAAGACUCAUUCUGAAGAAUAAGAGAGAGAAGACCCAAGAACCGUGUCUUCUGAGGAGAUGAGAGAGGAGAUCAUGAGCACCAGGUGGUUGUCGAAGCUUUAGGAGGUUUGAAGAGAAAGGGUGCUUGGAUGGGGAACUACUAUGGGAUAUUAGGAUUAUUUUCCUUUCAUGUUCUUCCUAUUCACAUUCACUCACAAAGGCCAGAACCAGAGGGCUAAGAGAGUGACAGCAAACUGGCUAACUGCUUGCCUGCCCUCCGGUUGCUCAGGUGAGCUAUGGUGUCCUGCUUCCUGACUGUGAGAUCAUUUAUACCGUUCAGAAAACCUGGGAGUCCUGUAGGGAUGGGGUGGUACAAGAGCUGGGACUUAUCACCAGAAACCUCCAAACAAGCCCAGCUCCAUCUCUGUGUGCUCUUGGCCAUGCCCCAACAGUGCUGAGCAACUGUUUCCUCAUUUAUUAUUAUUAUUAUUAUUUGUUUUUUGAGACGGAGUUUUCGCUCUCGUCACCCAGGCUGGAGUGCAGUAGCACAAUCUCGGCUCACUGCAAUCUCCGCCUCCUGGGUUCAACUGAUUCUCCUGCCUCAGCCUCCCAAGUAGCUGGAACUACAGGCACGUGCCACCACGUCCAGCUAACUUUUGUAUUUUUAGUAGAGAUAGGGUUUUGCCAUGUUGGCCAGGCUGGUCUCAAACUCCUGACCUCAGGUGAUCCACCUGCCUCGGCCUCCCAAAGUGCUGGGAUCACAGGAGUGAGCCACUGUGUCCAGCUCAUUUCCUCAUUUAUAAACGGGGGUGUCUGCCUGCUCUUCUCAUAGGAUUUUUGUGAGAAUCAAAUAAGGCAAAAACACUUAGUAAAUUUUGCAGCUCUGCGGAAAGUAUGGACUUAACACGAAGCUCUGUGAUUAUUAUUUCUUAGACACAUAUGUUCACAAAUGCUGGUCGAUACUGUCUUCCUUGUGUCUGUUGCCUCCGUGUGUGAUGUUUGAGCCUUUAGCCACGAGAGGAAAAUGAGUAAGACCAGAGAUUUGUGGACAAGCCCAUCACCCUGGGGGGCACACCAGGCUCCAGCCAAAGGUGGGAUAAAAGCCCUUUGCAAAAAUGAUGAUGAUGACAAUAAGGUGUCUAAGUCACAAAGCAUGACUGCACUUUCCUCUUCACUGUGAGGACCAAAUAUUCAUUUUAUACAUGGCUAUGUUCCAUGUGUAACUAUAUAUAUAGCAAAACAUGUUUGACAGUAAGGUUACUAUAUCCAAAAGACUCCUAGCCUCACACCUAUUCAGCUAUGGACUCCUGUGAUCAAACGUUUGCAGCAAGAAAUGUUCUUAAAUCUGUAACGUUAAAAUAGUUGCUUGAGUAACUUCAGAGGCUCAACUAAUCAUUCAAUUGCUAUCGAUCACCCUACUAGCUCCAAUACUUACACCUGGUGCAGACUGGCCCUUGGAAGAAGCUCUUAACUGAAAAUAGCAAUGAAGAGACACAACUCAAUUGCACUUUCUAACUAGAUUUCUAUAAAAACCAUUUAACUAGUAACUAAACAUCACUGUGUAGUUUUAGAAAAUUCAAUCUAGCCAGCGAACGCAAGUAGUUUUACAGGCUUAGGAAACCAAGUGCUGCUUUGCCUCUCAGAACGGCUUGUUUUUGUCAUUUAUAUUGCUGUGGUUUUAAUAUCAAAUUACUUGAUUUUUGAAUGUCACAAUACUCUCUGGUUUUUAUAUGAAUAAAAGUAAUGAAAGAGAAAUCUAUUAAAUCAGAUCUCACCUUACAA